CCACUUCAUCUCUUUUCAUUCGAACCACUUCUCUCUUUCCACUUUCUUCGUCUCUGCAGAAGCGAAGUGAAGUUUGGGUUUCAGUUUGAGGGUUUGAGGGUUUCGAUCUGAAGCUGAAGCUGAAGAUAAGAGAAUUUAGGGUUUCAGGCUGCAAGUGAAGUUUGGGUUUCAGUUUGAGGGUUUCAAUCUGAAGAUUAUCAGGAGGAGGUGAGACUGUCAUUGGUGAAAUUAUUUGACUGGUGGACAAAGCACAGGGCAAGGAAGCUCCACUCCAGUGGCUGGCUGACAAGAAACACCAAAGAUGAACCUGACAAAGCCAAACCCUAGGAAUUAGAUGAACUUAUCAAUCUGGGAAUUAGAUAGAGCAAGGUAUGUUACUUCAAACUUUUUUCAAGGAAAAUCCAUCCCAUUGGUUUUGCUUGUCAAAAUCUGUUUUUCCAUGAUUAAGUUGCAUUUACAUGGCAACUUAGAAUACUAGAAUGCUAUAUGGACCCCUGUAUCUACCUAACAUAGGGUGGGUCCUUCAGACCUUACACACUCACAUGAUUAGGAUAUUAUCCAAUAGUUCGUUCUGUGGUAAUUGACGACGUUAUGCAGUCCAAACAUGAGAGUUUGUUAGACUGAUUAAAAUUAUCAUUUUAUGUCUUGGCUUCCACUGUUGUGUGUCAAACCCUUAGGAUUUUUGAAUUCACUUCCACCCUUGUGCUGUAGCGAAAGCCGAAAGUUGCAUAGCGUGUAGAAUAUAUGAAUACGUAUUGAACGAAACCAAAUGACUGAUAAAACUUUUCCAUCAGUUAUUCUUGAUUUGUGUUAUGGUUUUAUGUAGGCGAAAUGUUCACCGAGGAGCAGAAUGAAUUGGUUGAAUCAGCAGAGAUGUUGUACGAAUUGAUUCACGUCUGUUACACAUUACCAGCGAAGGGGACUGGCACGGGUAGGAGAUCUUGUAAAACUCGAAGCAUAUAUGAACAUAAUGGAUCUUCUAUAUGAAACAGAAGAGACGUCAGUUCUGUAUAAUUAUCCCCAUUUUCUUGCUGCAGCUAUUCUGGCAUGUCUCUUUGUCAUCUUAUCAAUAUAUACCCCAUUUAGUGCUAUUGUUCCCCACAUCCCUUUAUGUGGCUCUGGUUAAACCUUACUAGUCAUCACAUUUUUUUUAUUCAGGUUGCCUCAUACGUUAUGACUGUUCCUAAGCAAGAGCAUGAGUUUCCUCUUCUUUCUUGGGAUGUUCCCAGUAGUUGGACUUCUAGAGCUUAUUAAAGCAUAUGAAAAGCCACGACCCAUUUGCCUAAGGAUAAAUUCUGUGAAAGUGCCAACACUUGCCCAAAAGAACUCUGACUUGAGAGAAUUGGGUGUUGUGAAUGUAUUAAGAGGGGAGAACCCAUGGAUUGAAGUGGACAGUAGAGUGACUUCUAAAAAUGCUUAACAAGGUUUGAUGAAGGAUCUGUGGGAUGGAUGGAAUGUGAUGAUGGUUUGAUGAUGCUUCGUUCUUGGAAGAGAUAUCUCGUGCAAGAGCAAUGGGCAUUGAAGUUACUGCAUAGCUGCUGCGGCAUUGGAUUCCAUCAGCUUUACCAAUUCUGCUUCAAAUGUGAAGGCAAAUACUGAUUAUGUGAGUACUGUUUCUGUUGGUUGAUUCUUAUCUCAUAAUACCCUAGGAAUAAAACCUAGGAAUUAUGCAAUAGAAUAAAACUUGAGGAUUGUCUUUUAAGUUCCGAACCAAUUCGAAUGUAGAAAGAACAAAAGUUAUUGUCAAUGAAGUUAUUGUUGAACGUGUGAUUGAA